CGAGGAGUUCCCCACUGACUGACCCGGUCAGCCUACGGAGGCCGUUGAAUUUGUCAUGCGACUGACAGCAGUAGCGUCAGAUACGUCUUGUUGUACUGCUUAUGCGGAUACGAGCCACGUUGGGCUUUGCAGUACGCAUGAUAGACGGCUAUUCGUGCAGCAGCGCGUAUACGAGUCGGCGUAUCGAUUAUGGGUUAAAGGAGCGUAGCGCCCUAAGCGUGUGUGAAUGCGGUGCUCACAUCGACUGCAGCGCGAACUGGGGGCUUGAGUGCGCGAAAGUAGCGGAAUUCGUGUGUAGCGGUGAAAUGCUUAGAUAUCACGAAGAACUCCGAUUGCGAAGGCAGCUUACUGUAGCGCAACUGACGCUGAUGCUCGAAAGCGUGGGUAUCGAACAGGAUUAGAUACCUGGUAGUCCACGCGGUAAACGAUGGAUGCUCGUUGUCGGCCCUUGCGGUCGGUGACCAAGCGAAAGCGUUAAGCAUCCCACGUGGGGAGUACGCCGGCAACGGUGAAACUCAAAGGAAUUGACGGGGGCCCGCACAAGCGGAGGAACAUGUGGUUUAAUUCGAUGAUACGCGAGGAACCUUACCCGGGCUUGAACUGCGGCGGAACGAUUCCGAGAGGAUGAGGCCCUUCGGGGCGGCCGCGGAGGUGCUGCAUGGUUGUCGUCAGCUCGUGCCGUGAGGUGUCGGCUUAAGUGCCAUAACGAGCGCAACCCCCGUCUUCAGUUGCCAUCGGGUAAUGCCGGGCACUCUGGAGAUACUGCCACCGCAAGGUGUGAGGAAGGUGGGGAUGACGUCAAAUCAGCACGGCCCUUACGUCCGGGGCUACACACGUGUUACAAUGGCGCAUACAGAGAGUCGGUGGCAUGCGAGUGCCAUCCAAUCCUUAAAGUGCGUCUCAGUUCGGACUGGGGUCUGCAACCCGACCCCACGAAGCUGGAUUCGCUAGUAAUCGCGCAUCAGCCAUGGCGCGGUGAAUACGUUCCCGGGCCUUGUACACACCGCCCGUCAAGCCAUGAAAGCCGGGGGCGCCUGAAGUCCGUGACCGCGAGGGUCGGCCUAGGGUGAAACCGGUGAUUGGGGCUAAGUCGUAACAAGGUAGUCGUACCGGAAGGUGCGGCUGGAUCACCUCCUUC
rnacentral:rRNA from 1 species